rnacentral:rRNA from 1 species
UAGGGAAUCUUCCACAAUGGGCGAAAGCCCGAUGGAGCAACGCCGCGUGUGUGAUGAAGGGUUUCGGCUCGUAAAACACUGUUGUAAGAGAAGAAUGACAUUGAGAGUAACUGUUCAAUGUGUGACGGUAUCUUACCAGAAAGGAACGGCUAAAUACGUGCCAG